rnacentral:rRNA from 1 species
UGCCUUCAGGAUGGGGACAACAGACGGAAACGACUGCUAAUACCGAAUAAGUUCCAAGAGCCGCAUGGCCCAUGGAAGAAAAAGGUGGCCUCUACCUGUAAGCUAUCGCCUGAAGAGGGGGUUUGCGUCUGAUUAGCUGGUUGGAGGGGUAACGGCCCACCAAGGCGACGAUCAGUAGCCGGUCUGAGAGGAUGAACGGCCACACUGGAACUGAGACACGGUCCAGACUCCUACGGGAGGCAGCAUG